rnacentral:rRNA from 1 species
GAUGAACGCUGGCGGCGUGCCUAAUACAUGCCAGUCGAGCGAACAGACGAGGAGCUUGCUCCUCUGACGUUAGCGGCGGACGGGUGAGUAACACGUGGAUAACCUACCUAUAAGACUGGGAUAACUUCGGGAAACCGGAGCUAAUACCGGAUAAUAUAUUGAACCGCAUGGUUCAAUAGUGAAAGACGGUUUUGCUGUCACUUAUAGAUGGAUCCUCGCCGCAUUAGCUAGUUGGUAAGGUAACGGCUUACCAAGGCGACGAUGCGUAGCCGACCUGAGAGGGUGAUCAGCCACACUGGAACUGAGACACGGUCCAGACUCCUACGGGAGGCAGCAGUAGGGAAUCUUCCGCAAUGGGCGAAAGCCUGACGGAGCCACGCCGCGUGAGUGAUGAAGGUCUUCGGAUCGUAAAACUCUGUUAUUAGGGAAGAACAACUGUGUAAGUAACUAUGCACGUCUUGACGGUACCUACUCAGAAAGCCCCGGCUAACUACGUG